AGUACAUCCUAAUAGGGGA
rnacentral:snRNA from 1 species